GACAAUGAAGUCAUUGAGAAAGACAAUCAGACACAGAACCGGAGGGGGAAAAAAAAAAAGAAAAUGGAGGGAAGCAAACUCAACACUAAAUAAAGAAUUAAAGUACCUUGACUGUGGUGAUGGUAUCACAGUGUUAGCCUAUGUCCAAGCUCAUCAAAUUGUAUACAUUGAAUGAGUACAGCUUUUUUGCAUAUUAAUUAUACCUUAAUAAAGCUGUAAACAAAGUUUAAAGAACCGCAGAGAAAAUUGGGGUUAUGCUGUCCAAGUGACUAACAGAUCCACAAACACAGCCAAACAAUAUGGAAAUAAAUGCACUUCAGUUCACUACACGCUGGAACACAAAUGGGAAAAUGUGAAAGUCAGUUUUGAUCAAGAAGUUAAUUGAGAUUGUCAAGCUUUAAAUUAAGAAUUUAGAACAGAGACAGAAGAAUUCAGAACUUAUACCCAAGUAAUUACGGCAAAAUAUUUAUUACAGAGUAUGAGAAGUAAGUGUGUGCCUUGCUACUCAAAACAUUUGAAUUGAUCUUUGAAGAUGUCUGGCUAUGAAGAAAAGUAAACGGUAAAGGCUGUUACUUUCUUUGUCAGGUGUGAGAAUCCUUUGCUGGUUAUGUCUGAUGGAUUUCUUUCAAAUCCUUGUUCUGCAUCCAGGAACAUGCUCCUGUAAAAAUAUGAAUAGCUGAAGUCCCUCAAGCAAAUUGUCCCCUUCAGUUCAGUUCAGUCACUCAGUCGUGUCCGACUCUUUGUGACCGCAUGAACCAUAGCACACCGGGCCUCCCUGUCCAUCACCAACUCCCAGAGUCCACCCAAACCCAUGUCCAUCGAGUCGGUGAUGCCAUCCAACCAUCUCAUCCUCUGUUGUCCAGUUCUCUUCCUGGCCUUAAUCUUUCCCAGCAUUAGGGUCUUUUCAAAUGAGUCAGUUCUUCACAUCAGGUGGCCAAAGUAUUGGAGUUUCAGCUUCAGCAUCAGUCCUUCC
ensembl:lncRNA